rnacentral:rRNA from 1 species
UACGGAGGGGGCUAGCGUUGUUCGGAAUUACUGGGCGUAAAGCGCACGUAGGCGGCUUUGCAAGUUAGAGGUGAAAGCCCGGGGCUCAACUCCGGAAUUGCCUUUAAAACUGCAUCGCUAGAAUUGUGGAGAGGUAAGUGGAAUUCCGAGUGUAGAGGUGAAAUUCGUAGAUAUUCGGAAGAACACCAGUGGCGAAGGCGACUCACUGGACAUGUAAUGACGCUGAGGUGCGAAAGCGUGGGGAGCAAACAGG